GAUGAACGCUGGCGGCGUGCCUAAUACAUGCAAGUAGAACGCUGAAGGAAGGAGCUUGCUCUUUCCGGAUGAGUUGCGAACGGGUGAGUAACGCGUAGGUAACCUGCCUGGUAGCGGGGGAUAACUAUUGGAAACGAUAGCUAAUACCGCAUAACAGNAGAUGUUGCAUGANANCUNNUUAAAAGGUGCAANUGCACCACUACCAGAUGGACCUGCGUUGUAUUAGCUAGUUGGUGAGGUAACGGCUCACCAAGGCGACGAUACAUAGCCGACCUGAGAGGGUGAUCGGCCACACUGGGACUGAGACACGGCCCAGACUCCUACGGGAGGCAGCAGUAGGGAAUCUUCGGCAAUGGACGGAAGUCUGACCGAGCAACGCCGCGUGAGUGAAGAAGGUUUUCGGAUCGUAAAGCUCUGUUGUAAGAGAAGAACGAGUGUGAGAGUGGAAAGUUCACACUGUGACGGUAUCUUACCAGAAAGGGACGGCUAACUACGUGCCAGCAGCCGCGGUAAUACGUAGGUCCCGAGCGUUAUCCGGAUUUAUUGGGCGUAAAGCGAGCGCAGGCGGUUAGAUAAGUCUGAAGUUAAAGGCUGUGGCUUAACCAUAGUACGCUUUGGAAACUGUUUAACUUGAGUGCAGAAGGGGAGAGUGGAAUUCCAUGUGUAGCGGUGAAAUGCGUAGAUAUAUGGAGGAACACCGGUGGCGAAAGCGGCUCUCUGGUCUGUAACUGACGCUGAGGCUCGAAAGCGUGGGGAGCAAACA
rnacentral:rRNA from 1 species